rnacentral:pre_miRNA from 1 species
CCUGAGGAUAGGCUAUAUUCUUAAGACGUUGUAUAGUAUGUUUUUGAGACAUCUUUUAAGGAUAUAGCAUAUCCUUGAGAC